UUGCAGUUCAGUCUUCGAGGGAAGGGAAUUGUUGUAUAAUUUUCCCUUUAUAUCGUGAUUGGUAUAAAAUUCCAUCAAUUUACAUUUUUCUUAAAAGAAAUUUGUUUUGAAUUAUUUAUUUAAAGUCUCUCUUUUUUAAUGUGUUUUUUUUUUUUGCUUAUGUGUUGGUUUUAUAUGUGUGUGUUUAUUUGAAUAUUUCUGGGCUUGUUUUCAUUCUUUUUGAAUUUGGGAUUCUUUUUAUAAGUUUGGGUUAUUUCUCUUAUAUUUUAGAGUUGAAUUUGCUAUCAAAUUUGAUCUAUUUCGUUUCAAAUUUCC
rnacentral:lncRNA from 1 species